CAGAAGUCACAACUCUCAGCAAGCAUCUUUACCCAUUCUACUCCCACAACAACAAAAAGGGUCAUUGGAUAUACAGUCUACUUGAUCAUACUGACCACAUGCAGCUAGCUGUGAGGUGGCUGCCAAUUUGUGAUGUAAAAGUAUGCAUCAAGGUAAUAUAUGGUCUGGAUCAGAGCUUAUCGUUUGCUACUUGUUUAACGUUAUUAUAGUACAGGUAAGUAUAUCAUAUAGGUAAGGUAAGGUAGCUAUGGCUUCAGCAGAUGUGUCCUUUCAGGAGGGUCUUGUUGGUGUGCAGUUGGUUGUGAGUUCUUGUGAGUUCUCUUAUAGUGGUGGCCUCAGUUCAUUACAAUUGACCUGGAAAGUGUCUAGUUUCAGAGGUAAUUUCUGUGCUUCUUGAUUGUCCCUAUAUACGUACUAUAAUUAUGAGGUGUCAUUGAAAGGCAGUCCAUAGUGUUAGGGUUAGGGUUAUAGGGUUAGCAUUUAGGUUUUGUUACUGUGGUGGUACAUGUGUACUAGUGGGAGGGUCACUAGUUGAUGCUGGAUCCCUGGCCCUUACUGCUAUGUAGCUCACCUUUUGGGGGGGGGGGUGUAUUCAUUGCAGGCUUUCCUAGAAUUCACCUUUCUCAGAAGUGGUGGGAAUUAGAUUCAUGUAGUGGUGGCUCAAUAGCUAGCAUGGCUGGUGGCUGUUCUAACAGCGGCCAUGCACUUGUCUGCGGUAGCAAGAUAAGAUGUGGCAGAGUAAGCACAUUUGCUGUGUUUUGUGGUAACCUUAUCUACUUUACAUCUACCCUGUACACACAAACACAACACAAACACACACGCACACCAGAAGGUUAUACCCAUGUACUACUACUUUUAGCUGAGCUUGUUGACAAUUAAUGAUUACUUCUAGCUGGUUUUUCAUAGUCAUUGGAGACUAGGAGGCAAACUUUCUGUGACUCUCUGGCUACUUAUACUAGUAGUAUAGCUUUCAUUAACCAACCUGCGCACGCAUGAUCCCCAGCAAUCCCCUCCAUUCUGUUAUCAGUGCAUACACUUUUUACUAGAUUCCUAUGCAAGCUAGAUACAUUUCCGCUAACCCUUGCUAAUCCACACAGCUAGCCAGAUAUUAUAAGCUCAGUAAAGCCAGAGGUAAGUUGUAUGGUAUAACCUGAGCAAAUAACCCUAUAGUCCAACCUCCUUUGCACACACACCAUGUGCUGUAUACUUUUUCUGUAUUUUGAGGCCAUAAGAAUCACUAAAAGUUCAGCCCUGGCAUUAAGGUUGCUGGAAAACACUAUAGUGAUUCCUACUGCAUGUGACCUCUUCUACACAUGAUUAUAACACCCAGUUCUACCAUAGAUUGAAGAGUUAGAGGGAUAGGAAACGGUUUGUAUCUCGAGUAACAUCCGCGCUACGCUGCGGUUUAAUCGAGGCCAUCACAACAAUAUCUAUUUCUACACUCAGUGCAUAAUAAACUACAAGUAACUGUGCUUAGUCCGUGCAACUCACUUAUAUUUCAAGGUCUAUACCUAUUGUAGUAGUCAUAACCAGCACGCUUACACGUUACAUGUUCCAAUAGCUCUAAAACAGCCUUGGGAACAUAUAACUUUAUUGGAAAGUCUCUUUUUACUGGGUGUGGUCAGUCAUUAGCAAGUACUACACGUGGCUCAUGGACUAGGCGUGUUAUAAGUUGCUGAAAGAGAUGAUGUCUCGAGGAAACACAGCUUUGGGAGUUACCCGGCAAAAAUGUGGUUAAUAGCCUCGUUCAUAGGGCGUAGCGCGGAUAAUUUUCGAGGCUCCACUGCAGAUUCAAUGUAAAAUCAUCACGUGCACCACUCCGUUUCCUAUCCCUCUAACUCUUCAAUCUAUGGUUCUACUACACACAUGUACAGAGAAGGUCAAACAUGUGGUAUAUAUGAAUCACUGCAAAUUCAAUUUACUGUGUCUGCACGUUAUGAAAUGUUACAAAUAUACACUGAACUCAAAUAUACACUGAACUACACCCAGAGGAGGUUCGGACACUGAACUAAUAUACACUGAACUACACCCAGAGGAGGUUCGGACACCGCUACGAAUCACUACAACAAAUCACUACAAGUUUGAUGUACUGUGUCUGCAUGUUAUAAAUGACAUUGAUCUACAUCAAAAUGAAGGAAGUCUCUUGCUCUAUGCUGAUGAUCUUCUUCUUUACCAUCCUAUUCAAUCUCCUGAAGAUUAUCUAAAAUUGCAAGGAGAUAUUGACCAACUCCAAGCAUGGUCUGAAACAAAUGUACUCUUGUUUAACCAAUUAAAGCAAGUGUAAAUACAUGACUAUAUCAAGAAAAUUCAACCCACCACUUCCCAACAUGUGUCUCAAUAUCAGUGGACGUCCCCUACUUAAAGUUGACCACUACAAGUACCUUGGCGUGUGGAUCUCUCAUGACCUCUUGGCGUGUGGAUCUCUCAUGACCUCUCAUGGUCAAAACACAUAUAGAAGGAAUGUACAGAAAUGCCUGCCAAGUAGGUUGGUAUAAUUUACCGACAGUUCUAUGGCCACUUGUCACUAGAAUGUUUAAGACAACUCUACAUCUCACUUGUGAGAUCAAAAAACUGGAAUAUGCUGCUCCUGUUUGGGAUCCACACCAAAAAACAAAUUCUCACAAAAUAGAAGAAGUACAAAAGUUUGCCGUUAAAAUGUGCACAAAACUUUGGAAUAGGGACUAUGACUCCCUAUUAAGAAAAAAAAAUUACCUGACCAGAAAUGAACACUGAACUUGUAGUGAUUUGUACUGCAUGUCCAAAGUAACCCUACACCCUACACGAUACACAUCCAUGCACACUAUACACGUACACUACACCCUGCCCCAGUUAUAUAGUCCGAGAGCCUUUGUGCUGAUGUAUUGCUUAGAAACUGCAUGGUGUUCAGCUCUUACCCAUGUACCGUAUAGCGGGUAAUUUUCGGGGGAGAAAAUAUUCGUGGUUCAGCAAUAUUGAGACAUUUCGUGGGUAAUAUUUUCGUGGUUGGAGCUUGCACUGCAGAUAAAGGUAGGCAAGGUCGCUUCAUUCGUGGGUAAAAUAUUCGUGGUCAGACCUCCAACCACGAAAACCACGAAUAUUUUGCCCCACGAAAAGUACAUGCUAUACGGUACUUAACCCACCUUGACCACAUCCUGCUGAUAAAGUCAUGCGUGGUAAAACAAAAUUAUGGCAACCACCAGGUCCCCAUGUGUAUAUGCAGUACCAAUUAACCUGUUGUAAAGAUUGCUAAAUAGAUCUUUUGCCCUAUAAUCAUUGCUGGCCCACUCAGUAUAGUUCUUAGCUCUGAGUGCCAGUUGCGUACCCAUACAGUGCACAUUUUAUUAACCGAGUCGCGUAGACGGCCGCCGAUGAUAGUAGUCCGCUGAGGUGUCUGUCUUGAGUCUUCUCACCUGGAUGCCGAAGGGUUGUGUUUGCAGCAUCAAUAUAUAGCCAAGUAAUUUCUUGUUGAAUAGAAGCGAGCAAAGGCUAAGAAGCUUGAACUUGCACGUUACUGCUAGCUUUUAUAGGCUAGCCACAUACAGGUUUGAUUCGAGGCAUUUUAUGGCCUACCACAAUGCCUUAUCACAGCGAGUUUCACAUCAGUAAACUGCAAUUGGCUUUGUAUAGCAAUGUAUACUGUUGAUUUUAUACCGCUCCUCCUAUUUUUGAGGAAAAUAAUGACACUUCUGGUCAAGGCUUCAUGCAGUGCUCUAGUUAAGGUUGCCGUGCUUUCCUCCAUUGUUUUAUUGUUUUGACUAGCUCCUAAUCAUGUGUGCACAUAUACUUAUGCGGUAUAUCAUGAGUUUAGCAUUACCAUAUACACACGCUUGCGUAUGCACACCAAACACACACAUUCAAUAGAAUAACUCUUAUCUUAAUCUAAAGGUGAGUCUAAAAUAUGGACUUAUGCAAGCCUUAAUUGAUAACACUCUUUGAAGUUCUUCUCUUAAAAGUCCCAACAGAAGUGUUGUCCACUUCAACGUAUCUUUAUCACACAUGGAGGGUUGGCUACCUCGAAAUUUUUGGUCUGGAGUUGCUAUUCUUCCCUUUGCAACAUGUAUAUUUAUAGCCUCGUUCCCAGGCCGAGUUGUCUCCAAAAUAACGCUAUAGGUCGCCAGUUUUUGUUCCCAGCUAUAAUUAUAGGUCGCUAACUGGCAAUUUAUAGCGUAAUUUUGGAGACAACUCGGCCUGGGAACGAGGCUAUACAUGUAUUUGCUACAAUACAUAUAGGUGUAGUUAGUACAUGUACAUGCUUCUUGUGGGUGGUUUGUUAUGACUCCUGUAAUCAGAUAAACCUGCAUGUGCUCUUCAUUGAAUGCUCUUAUAUACAUGUAUAAGCAUCUUGUUAAGAUCCUUAUAAGGGUCUUAACAAGAUGCUCAUAGAGCAUUCGCCCCGUGCGUUGAGCACAGCAGCAAACAGGUUAUAACUUUUCACCGUAAUGACCUUAACAUUAGGAUUGAAUGACCGUGAAUCUAGAAAGCAUCGAUUAGAAAAAACAGUGUAUUUUGUCGCCUUCGAAGAUUGCCUACAAGUUUCUACUAUUUUUUUUAACCACUGUCUCAGUUAAAGCAGUUCAUGAAAGUAUCUAGUUCACUCAAACAGCUCAUAUUUAUAUCCACACACAUUCACAAACCAACACACACACACUAAUCACUUAGUGCGCACGCACGGGGUAAUUAUGACUUGUUCAUGCAGCAUUCUGUGCACAUGCACAAUAUCUACAUACAUAGGAUUAUACUGCACUCACACACAUUAAGGAUGUUUUUCCUCUGUAGGGUAUAUAAUAAUAAUUAUGGCCAAACUGAUUGAUAUGCCCACAUUAGAAUUACCGAAACCUUCCCAGUACCAUGAUAAUUGUGCAUGUAUAUAUAGCCAUGGCCCAGUGCAUGUUGGUCGUAUAAAAACGUGUCACUACUGUAUUAUAUUUUUUACUAC